rnacentral:rRNA from 1 species
GUCGCAGCCCGGUAAUACGUAGGGUGCAAGCGUUGUCCGGAAUUAUUGGGCGUAAAGAGCUCGUAGGCGGUCUGUCACGUCGGCUGUGAAAACCCGAGGCUCAACCUCGGGCCUGCAGUCGAUACGGGCAAACUAGAGUACUGCAGGGGAGACUGGAAUUCCUGGUGUAGCGGUGAAAUGCGCAGAUAUCAGGAGGAACACCGGUGGCGAAGGCGGGUCUCUGGGCCGAUACUGACGCUGAGGAGCGAAAGCAUGGGGUAGCGAACAGG